AGUGAACGCUGGCGGCAGGCCUAACACAUGCAAGUCGAACGGUAGCACAGAGGAGCUUGCUCCUUGGGUGACGAGUGGCGGACGGGUGAGGAAUACAUCGGAAUCUACCCUGUCGUGGGGGAUAACGUAGGGAAACUUACGCUAAUACCGCAUACGAACUGAGGUUGAAAGCAGGGGACCGCAAGGCCUUGCGCGAUUGGAUGAGCCGAUGUCCGAUUAGCUAGUUGGUAAGGUAAAGGCUUACCAAGGCGACGAUCGGUAGCUGGUCUGAGAGGAUGAUCAGCCACACUGGAACGGAGACACGGUCCAGACUCCUACGGGAGGCAGCAGUGGGGAAUAUUGCACAAUGGGCGCAAGCCUGAUGCAGCAACGCCGCGUGAGUGAAGAAGGCCUUUGGGUUGUAAAGCUCUUUCGGCUGGGGAGAAGGCCUUUACGGUAAAUAAUCGUGAGGGUUGACGGUACCAGAAGAAGAAGCACCUGCUAACUACGUGCCAGCAGCCGCAGUAA
rnacentral:rRNA from 1 species